CCUACGGGAGGCAGCAGUGGGGAAUAUUGCACAAUGCGGGAAACCCUGAUGCAGCGACGCCGCGUGAGUGAAGAAGUAAUUCGUUAUGUAAAGCUCUAUCAGCAGGGAAGAAAAUGACGGUACCUGAGUAAUAAGCCCCGGCUAACUACGUGCCAGCAGCCGCGGUAAUACGUAGGGGGCAAGCGUUAUCCGGAUUUACUGGGGGUAAAGGGAGCGUAGACGGCAGUGCAAGUCUGGAGUGAAAGGCGGGGGCUCAACCCCCGGACUGCUCUGGAAACUGUACGGCUGGAGUGCAGGAGAGGUAAGUGGAAUUCCUAGUGGAGCGGUGAAAUGCGGAGAUAUUAGGAGGAACACCAGUGGCGAAGGCGGCUUACUGGACUGUAACUGACGUUGAGGCUCGAAAGCGUGGGGAGCAAACAGGAUUAGAUACCCGUGUAGUC
rnacentral:rRNA from 1 species